CAGCCGUAAACUAUGCGCGUUAGGUGUAUCGGUGACCACGAGUUACCGAGGUGCCGAAGGGAAACCGUGAAACGUGCCGCCUGGGAAGUAUGGUCGCAAGGCUGAAACUUAAAGGAAUUGGCGGGGGAGCACCACAACAGGUGGAGCCUGCGGUUUAAUUGGACUCAACGCCGGGAAGCACACCGGAUAGGACAGCAGAAUGAUUGCCGGGCUGAAGACCCUGCAUGACUAGCUGAGAGGAGGUGCAUGGCGUCAGUGACU
rnacentral:rRNA from 1 species